CACAGCAGUUAUUCAUCCCCGGAAGGUGACUACUGCUUGGCAUCUAAGAGGUUUAGACUGCUCCUGAAUGCCAUGUAAAUGGACAAGAUUGUAUAUACUCCUAUGGGUCUGACUUUUCUCCCAAAUUGUGUCUGUGGAAUUUAUUCACACUGUGCUUUUGCAUGGUUUGUACUUUUUCAUCGCUGGAUAGUGUUUGAUUGCACAGAUGCACCACAAUUACUGAAGCUAAACACAGGCUUCUCUCAUUUCAGGUCCCUUGCACCCCUUUGAUCCGAAUGGAAGAUGUCAGGAUGCCUUGCUUCCUGCCUGUUAGCCCUGAACUCUUGCUCUCCACACAUCUAGAGGGCACUGUUACCUAAGCCUGGUUCAUCUGUAGAGAAACACCACACACUUCCUGUUAGUUUUAGACAACCUUGUGGGCAUCUCCGCAGACAACAACUGCAGUUCCCUCAGGCCAAAGCCACAACAAAAUAGGAACUCAUUCGCACCUGUUGCUCACUACAGUUUUCAAUGCCCACCUAAAUCUACCGGAUUUGUAAGUCUUUUAAGUUCUCAGUUGUAUUUUUACAAGUUGCUGGAGUUUAUAGCUUUUACUUGUGGAAUUAUCAGUUUGUUCUGUGUUAGGUACUCAUUUUUCCAUUCUGGAAGCGGAAGUGUAGGGUAACCAGUGCAAAAAGCACUUAAAUAAGACUCUUAGGAAUAGUUGCAUUACUUGGCGGGUCUUACCAACAGUACAAGGUGAUCUUUUGCAUUCCUCGCCGUCACCCUUACCCUGCUUCAUUCUUCUUUCUAGAACCUGGCAUGUGUGUGUAUUUUUGUAUGGUCUCCCAUUCUCCUCCUUUAAAAGGUAAGGUCUAGGAGAGCAGGAGCUUUACCUACUGUGUCCUCAGUGUGGAUCUGCAAAGAGGAAGAAAUCAGGGAAAGGUGGGAAGAUGUGGGCAGCAGGAGGGCCCAUUCAGCAGCUGGAGUUUUGCAUAAGAUGGUCUUCCUUAGAAACACCAUAGUUGGCUAGCGAAGGAAAAACAGAGAUUAGACAUUGUGGAUUGUAACCACUAGGUGGUGCUGCUUAUCAACUUUCCUAAAAUCAAGCCUGACUAGAACUGCUCUUCAUCAACUCUGAAUCCUUACUCUCUUCCAGGACCCCGCUUAAAAUGCCAUGUCUGUGGCGGCACGUCCCUGCCCUCACUCCAAACCUGCAGGCUGAAGGCCUCCGUGACAAUGACUUCUACCUCCCACCCCCUCAAGCCUCUAUGUGAAUGGACAUUAAUGAGGCCUUCUAGGUACGAAGGGCCCUGGAUGGGAGCAGUGUAAAUCAGAAGUGGUUUCUGACCUGAAAGAAGCUUUGUUCAGCUGGGUCCAACUGGCUUAAGCCAUGCAUUGGAUUGAAUAGAUUAACUUCUCUCCGGUGCCUCAUAGAAUGGUGCGCUGGUUACGUUCCAGUUGAGUGAAAAUAUUCAUUCAUCUGUUUUCUGUGGUUCAGAUGGGAAAGGUAUGGAGCCUGGAGGGGAAGACUCCUGUGUUUGUCAGAAUACAGGGGCAAGAGGGAAGAAGAGUUCUCAGGGUGUGCUCAGGAUGCAGAUAAAUGUGCUCUGAAAUGACUUAUUGAUUCUGUUCUUUGUGUCACGAUUCAUCUUCUACCAGCUUCUUGUUCGCUGUUGUAUUCGGCAAUGUGGGAGCUGAGUGCUGUCAUCUGAGUCGGUCCUGCCUUUACCAGCAAGAACCUGCUGGGCUCAAGCAUCCCUUCUUGGGAGAGGAGCCAAGAAGUACUGACACUUUUCAGGGACUAGGAGGAAAGGAAGACAAGGUGUUGCACUCACGUGAGGAGGACUCAGUCUUGGCCCCUAGAGUGACGGUGAUGAGGAAGAGGAGAGAGGAGAUGGUGGCCACGGAGACCUU